CGAGGCCCACGGUUCACGGGAAAGGUUAGAGGUGAUUUUUUUUUUUCUUUCUUUUUUUUUUUUCUUAAAGGAGCGAAGGGAGGGGCGACGCCGAAAAGCGUCUCUGUGGUGAAAGGGCCCCCGCGAGGCCCGGGCGGAGCGAGGGAGGACCCUCGGUCGUCGCCGCGCCGCUCGCUCAUGUCUCCGGCCACAGGCUCCCCCGGGAGCGCCCGCCGCCGAGCCCCGAGCCCAGGGUCCAGGGACCGCGGCUCCUCCGCCUCGAACCCGCACCCGCACCUCCGGAGUCCCCGCUGGACACCGCUACCGACCCGCACCGCGUCCUGAAGGCCAUGCACUUCGCGACCUCCAGCCGCGCCUGGACUCCCGGUGCGGAGGGAAUGCACCUGCCAGCUGCCUGAAACACAGCCCAACGGCGACCUGAGUUCAUGCCCAAACCCGAGUGAAAUGUGCCCCCACGUGCACUUGACCCAAGUCCCUCCGUCUCUGAAAUCGCCUUAAGCUGGUUGAAAUGAAAUCCCAACCUUCACUGAGUUUUCCCUCCAACACUGAGUGGCCACCAAACCUGGCUGAACGCCCCUGAGAGUCUGAAGUCCGUGUUACAGCCUUAGCUCUCCAUCUCAGCGCUGUCCAGGAAAACUUCCCCGGCCACAGAGUCUGCCCCGCCCCUGCUGCUGACCCACCCGCCCCACACACUGCAUCCUCUGGCUCAGGAUUCCCUCCACCUCUGGCCUUUGAGUCCUUGAGCAAUCCUCUCCCCAUUGCUCGAUCUGCUUUCUCUUGUCACCUUUGGCAUUAGAGCUCGAGGGCCCUAUCACCAGCCUCCUUGACUCCACCAUCUGAGCACUGGCCCUUGCUCUACCCGACACCCCCCUCAACUUCCUUUAAUUCACGCUAAUCCUAGGUUCUUUUCUUACCCUCUCCAAAGUCAUGAUGCCUUCUCCGUAUGUCACUGAGUACUUGCUAAUUUAGUUCAUCUCACCAGCUAACCUUUUUCCCCCCAUCCCGUCACACCCCUUCUAUUGCCAGCCUAGCAAAUUUUCUCUGUUAGCAGCUUUUCCCCUGGACCAUGAGCCCUUCUCGCUUGGUACUUGCUACCUAUGUUUAUAAACACCAGCGAUUUGAUUUACAGAGUGAACUUACACUGUUGUUUACAUUUAGAUGGAGUAACUGUAUUUAUUGUACUGAAUGAAGGCUAGAUUACAGACCAAAGACUAGGCUUAAUAUUCAAAGGGAGUCAAGUCUCUUAGUUUCUACAUGAAAAUAAAACAAAUUCUUCUUCUUACAUUUCUGGAUAACAACAAAACCUUCUAAGGAAGAAUGCCUAUAAUUGGGUCAGGUCACAACAUUUAUACUGGAGUGAAAUUUUAUUGAGUCAUCAAGUUUUAGGUACUCAAUGAUGUUUUAAGUAUUGAUCUGUGGCAUAUGAAGAACAAAGGUAAAAUCUAAAUCAGCUCAAGCAGCCUGUCACAGGGUACAUGCCAAGGUAUUCAAUGUACUCAACAAAUAGGUACUGAGUCUGGAUCAGGUGCCAGAUACUGUUCUUGACAGUAGUGACACAAAUAAAACAAAGCAGACAAAAUUUGAUGGUGGCAAAAGGGUGCCUUCAGUUUUGUCAAAUGAAAAGCUAAUUAAGUGACCAAAUUAAGAAAUGAGCUGCAAGGGGAGGGAAAGGAACAAGUAAAGAAAAAAAUUACUUGCCACUACAAUUCAAAAUAGAACCCAAGGAAUAAUGAGACAGAGCUGACCAAUUCAGAUGGCACAUAAAAAGACUCAUCAACAGUGGCAGGUUUAUAGAACAUGACAGAGGAAGCUGUGCUGAGCUGAGGAGAGGAAGCAGAGAAGGAAGCAGAGAAAAACAAAGUCCGUGAUAAAAAUUGGAAAGGAGCCACCACGGCUGCAAAAAAAACAAGGAAGGCCAUUUGUUAACUGGACGCUGGAGUGACUGAAAAGCCAGAGUGUCAUUUGAGGAUACAAGUAGAAUAAUCACACUUUUUUGCAUCAAAAUCUUGAAAAUGUUAAAACAAAAAAAGUAAAGCGUAGUAAGUUCACAUUUACCCUUCCCUAGAAGCUUCUAGAAGAUUAAAAAAAAAAAAUAGCUGGGUCUACAAGAGAGGUGUGAUGGACUGUCUUGAAGAUAAGAUAUGAGGGUUUUCUAAUAUUGAUUAAUAAAUAAUUUUUAAAA